AAUUCUAGAGCUAAUACAUGCAGCAAGCCCUGACUCCUUGUGGGCAGGGCGCAGUUAUUAGAUCAAAAACCAAUCGACCGUACCUUCUGGUGCAGUCGCUCUUUUGGUGAAACUGAGUAACCACAGCAAACCGCAUGGCCUUGCGCUCGGCGGUCUGUCGGUCAAGCAACUGCCUUAUCAGCUUGUUGUUAGGUUAUAUGCCUAACAAGGCGUCAACGGGUAACGAACGAUCGGGGUCGGACAUCGGAGAGGGAGCCUGAGAAACGGCUACCACUUCCAAGGAAGGCAGCAGGCGCGCAAAUUACCCACUCCCGGCACGGGGAGGUAGUGACGAGAUGUAUCGAUGCGGGGCCAUUAGUGCCUUCGUAAUCGGAAUGAGUACACUUUAAAUCCUUUAACGAGGACCUAUUGGAGGGCAAGUCUGGUGCCAGCAGCCGCGGUAAUUCCAGCUCCAAUAGCGUAUAUUAAUGCUGCUGCGGUUAAAAAGCUCGUAGUUGGAUCUGGGUUCCCGACGGGUACUGUAUGCAGUCUUGUAUUGUAUACAUGUACUAUUCGUGUUGCUUCGGUAGCACUGCCGACGUGGUGGGUCUCGUUUGUAGAUUCAUUACGUCGGUCGUCGGGACCACGGGCCAAGUCAGGCGGUAUGCUCUUCACUGAGUGUACUGUUUGCUUGGUGCGUUUACUUUGAAAAAAUUGGAGUGCUCAAAGCAGGCGUACAGUCGCAAUGCGGCCAGAACAGUGGUGCAUGGAAUAAUGGAAUAGGACCUCGGUUCUAUUUUGUUGGUUUUAAGAAUUCGAGGUAAUGAUUAAGAGGGACAGGCGGGGACAUUUGUAUUGCGACGUUAGAGGUGAAAUUCUUGGAUCGUCGCAAGAC
rnacentral:rRNA from 1 species